CUCUCAUAACAUCCUCAAGACGUUCGCUCGCAUCCUCUCCGGCCUUUCCGUCGGAUUCUGGCUGGUUCUCCGGCCAAAAUAUCAUCUAUAGCUUUCAAGCACAUCCUUCGAACUGGAGCUUGGCGGAUCAUAAAGUCGAGACCUUCCAAAAUGGUUGGAGGUCUGGAGCCAGAUCAAGAAUGGGAUCUGGGUGACUGCUUUUGCGUAUAGUUUUCUCCGUGUUUUGUUCUUUAGUUACGGUCUUUAAAGUUUAUGAGCUUAAUUUACUUAACUAGUUGGUGUGUAGGUUUGGGAGACCGAUCUAUGAACCUUUUCUCCUCUCACUUUCUUAGAUUCGAAGACCGUCGCCUUCAUCUUCCCCUAUUCAGUUUUGGGGAUAUUUAUUUUUUCCCUGGUUUCUGUAUGUGGGAAUGUACUGUUCACUAUUGUAAUCAAGCUUCUACCUUUUUAACGAA